rnacentral:rRNA from 1 species
AAAAUCCGUUUAGGCAAUGCUAGGAUGUGAUGGGGAAGCCCUUCGGGGCGAAGUAGCUGAUUUCACACUGUCAAGAAAAGCUUCUAUCGAGUUUAAAGGCGCCCGUACCGUAAACCGACACAGGUGGGUGAGGAGAGUAUCCUAAGGCCAGCGAGAGAACUAUUGUUAAGGAACUCGGCAAAAUGACCCCGUAACUUAGGGAGAAGGGGUGCCUGUCUAUGACAGGCCGCAGAGAAUAGGCCCAAGCGACUGUUUACCAAAAACACAGGUUUCUGCUAAGUCGCAAGACGAUGUAUAGGAGCUACGCCUGCCCGGUGCUGGAAGGUUAAGGGGAUCUGUUAGAGCAAUCGAAGCAGUGAACUUAAGCCCCAGUAAACGGCGGCCGUAACAAUAACGGUCCUAAGGUAGCGAAAUUCCUUGUCGGGUAAGUUCCGACCCGCACGAAAGGCGUAACGAUUUGGGCACUGUCUCAACAAUAGACUCGGUGAAAUUGUAAUCCCGGUGAGGAUGCCGGGUACCUGCGACAGGACGGAAAGACCCCAUGGAGCUUUACUGUAGCUUGACGUUGUGUCUUGGUACUACAUGUACAGGAUAGGUGGGAGACUAUGAAGCAUGGACGCCAGUCUGUGUGGAGUCAUCCUUGGGAUACCACCCUUGUAGUACUGGGAUCCUAACCAUAGGCCUUGAAUCAGGUCUUGGAACACCGUCAGGUGGGCAGUUUGACUGGGGCGGUCGCCUCCUAAAAAGUAACGGAGGCGCUCAAAGGUUUCCUCAGCACGGUCGGAAAUCGUGCGAAGAGUGUAAAGGCAAAAGGAAGCUUGAUUGCAAGACAUACAGGUCGAGCAAGGACGAAAGUCGGACUUAGUGAUCCGGUGGUACCGCAUGGAAGGGCCAUCGCUCAACGGAUAAAAGCUACCCUGGGGAUAACAGGCUUAUCUCCCCCAAGAGUCCACAUCGACGGGGAGGUUUGGCACCUCGAUGUCGGCUCAUCACAUCCUGGGGCUGUAGUAGGUCCCAAGGGUUGGGCUGUUCGCCCAUUAAAGUGGUACGCGAGCUGGGUUCAGAACGUCGUGAGACAGUUCGGUCCCUAUCCGUCGCAGGCGCAGGAAAUUUGAGAAGACCUGUCCUUAGUACGAGAGGACCGGGAUGGACGUACCUCUGGUGUACCAAUUGUUCUGCCAAGGGCAUGGCUGGGUAGCUAUGUACGGAAUGGAUAAGCGCUGAAAGCAUCUAAGCGCGAAGCCAACUUCAAGAUAAGAUUUCCCACCGUAAGGGUAAGACCCCAGGAAGACUACCUGGUUGAUAGGUCGAAGGUGUAAGUGCAGUAAUGUAUUUAGCUUAUCGAUACUAAUAGGUCGAGGACUUGACC